GACUUCCUACAUUCAAGAGAAGCCUUAAAAAGGAAAACGUUUUGAAUGUGAUCAUCACAAAUUUCUCCUUGAAACCUGCAAUAUUGCUCCCUUUCAUUUUAUCACAGAAUAAAACUGAGAGCAUUUGGACUGCAAGCCUGAAAGUGGACAAGUGCGGAACAUGAGGACUGUGAGUGCAAUGAAGAUGCUGAUGGCACUGCAGCUGCUCCUUUACUUUGACAUCUGCUCAUGUCGGAGGGAAUGUGCAACUUAUAACAUUGGAAGGAAUAACAAUGGAAAGAAGCUUUAUGUCAGAAGUAAAAAUGUGGUUGACAAUGAUGUUCAGAGAGGUGACAAGGUCUCAAAAGUGAACACUCAGAAAGGCUGUUUGUUCUUCAUACAAGGGUCUGUGUUUGGGCCAGGAACUCAAUGGGUGAAUGUAAAAACUCAUUAUGUGCAGUGCUGUUGUGAGUUCUACAAUACUGGAUAUGAGAGAUUCCUGAACCGGCACCAGCUGACAGGUAUUGAUGACAAUGACCAACACUUCAAGAAAGAGAUGCAAAAAAGGUGCAUCCCAAUUGACAACAGACCUAUACAUACUUUUGUAAAAGCUACAGAACAGCAGUUGAAGACAAUUUGUGGGAAGACAAAAUAACAAGGUUGAUUGCAUGAGCCAAGAUUCAUUCACAGUGUAUGAUAUUCAGCGUAGAAAAGACGGCCAUUACACUAAUGUGGGGAAAGUCACAAGACAAGCCAGGAUUGUGGUGACUUGUGAAAAUAAUUCCCCCAUUCACUUUGUGGGUGUCGUUGAUCAAAACUAUAACAGCCAUCACACAUGCCAAUAAGAGAAAUAGCAGAGAAACAGCUUGUUACUUUCUCCAUCAAAAAAGUAAAGAAUUGUCCUUAGCUGUCAUAUUCACCUGACUUCAAUUUAGAUUAUUUUUUCAUAGCACACACUUCCCUCUGGUAAGCCCGACAAUGCAGUAAAAGUUCAGUUCUCCAGAGCAAACGAAUGGGGAGUUUUCAUUUUGUUGUGAACAUACGAAGUGUCUGAAGAUUAUUGUGAGCACCAGAAACUGGGAGAUGAUUAAGAAGCAAAUAGUCGUAGUCAACAACAACAACAACAGCAAGACAAGCAAAGUAAUCAAGACAAACAAAGGUCAGAAUACUGGGUGUGUAAAAUGAUAUCAAGUAACCAGGAACUGAAAAGACAAGAUAAAAUUUGAAAUCAAAUGCUGAAAGAGGUCAUUACCAGAACACAAUAUCACAUAGGAAAACUUUACUGCUCAAAGUCUGAUCUUUGAUGGCUCGUGAGGCUUAACAUAAAUUCUCAUUUAUAUUUCAUUUAAGAAUCAACUUUAGGAGAAAUAACUUUAGACAAAAGGAAACUUCAGCUGCAACUGAGGUAAAUGGAGUCAGAAAUGAGAAUUUGGUUUGAAAAGCAUGUUAGAUUUUUUAAUCUUUUUCAAGAGUUCACAUGUUUCCCAUGAUUGGACUCAUGCCUUUAUCCGCAGCGACUUACACCAUUUGAGAUACGAUUUGUUACGUUGCAUUUCAUUUUUGUUUUUCUAGUUGUAGCUCAGGCAUAUGAAGUGACUUACUCAUAGGUACAUGGUGUCAGCAGUGGGAUUUAAACAGGUAACCUCAGGGCUUGAAGUCCAAUGUCAUAAUUUCUGCCUUUUUCCCAGAAUGUCUAUGAUCUAAUUGGAGCACAGCAAUAUAAAUUAGAGCAACCAAUAGCAUUUUUCAGAAGCAAGGACUAUCGUUUUGUAAUCAUAGUAAAGUGUUUUAUUACCACAAACAAAUGUAAAUACAUAAAACCAUAUAAAACUGACCAUGCAGUGCAAAUACUUUCAAAUUGCAAAAAAAAAA